ensembl:lncRNA
GUAAAUAUGCGUCUUUCAUAUUUAUAUAAAGACCUAUUAUACCUCUCUCAGUGAUUGAUCCAUAAAGAAACGGGAUAUGCUGACGAAGUUUCACUUAGUGAUCCAGAGAGAUACACUGACGACUUCCUCAGUCCCCGAAUAAAGUAAAUUAACCCUUGUGUGGUGUUGGUGGACACAGGAAGUUGCCUGUUGUCUUGAAUAUUUUAAUUUUGUUUAAAUAAUAAUAAUAAUAAUAAUAAUUAAUUGUUUAAUUAAACGUACGUUAAAAAGUGAGAAGUUGCUCACUCAGAAAAAGUGACACAGAAAGUUGCCUGUUGUCUUAAAUACUUCUCGUUAAGUGAGAAGUUGCUCAUCAAAGAGUGACACAGGGAGUUGCCUGUUAUCUUGAAACGUACGUUAAAAAGUGAGAAGUUGCUCACUCACAGAAAGCUAGUAAAUAAUUUAAUUUAAUUUUGUUAAAAAAAAAAAAAAAAAACGAAAGAAAACUGAAAACGGGUCUCACAGACCCGAUUACCAUACAAGGGUUAAAAGCAGUAAAUUAAAAGCAGAAAGACACAGGAAGUUGCCUGUUGUUUUACGAGAAGUUGCUCGUUAAGCGAGAAGUUGCUCGCUAAGUGAGAGUUGCUCACACAAACAAAAAAUUGCUAGCAAUAAAUUUAAAGUGACCUCAGCUGUGCCGCAGCGAAAAUACUAACAUAAAUCCUCCUAGCGUGUAAACCCCUCUGGAAAUCACUGAACAUGGGUCAGAAUAAUUCAAAGACCACAGACAGGUCCGAUAAAAAAUCUAAAGUACCUGUAAAACCAAAAAUUAAUAAAAUACAAAAUAAAGUCUCAAAUAACGGCUCAGUAUAACUCCCAUUUCCGGUUACGUGUAACCUACGUCCGCGAAUCGGUGAAGACGUCCAUGAUCACGUAUCCAGAACAUGCGGGAGUGCUUAUGUGACUGACUUUGUUUACAACUUAAGAAGUUCAAUGCAUUCUAAUUUAUUUUCGGAGCCUUAUCCCGAACGAUUAUCGCCAGAAACCAGACUAUUUCCAAGACCAUGGUCAGCUUCCAGAGGGGCACCGCUAGUAGAAGGUGAUGUAUAUUGCAUUGUCCACUGAUGUUCACAACCUGGUAGAAAAACUGAAUAAUAACUAUCAGAAAGUUUGUCUCUCUCAGCUUUUCCCCUCCACAGUUCCACCAGUGGAGACAAGGAGACGCAUGUUGGAGAAGCCACUAAAACCAAGGACUCUCUGGGAGGCCGCGCGUGUUCCAGCCCCAGACUGUACUGGCAGUGACGAAGAACCAGCAUCCUCAUAGACGGACAACCUCAGUGGAUUCAUGCCAGCAGGGUUAAGACCAGCCCAAUCGGACCAUCUCAGGCGUCGGAUCAAGCAGACGACAUCUCCGGCGAGCCAGCGCCCGGAACUAGAGCAAAUAAACACACGGGUAGAUGACAUCUCCGGCGAGCCAGCGCCAGGAUCCAAUUUACACACACACACAAUCACUGAUUAAGACACAACGUCUGAAAGAACAACAACAAGGUACUCAAACAUCCAGCAGGAACAGAAAGCCAAAAGUACCACAUGAUGUCUAACCUGAUAAAGCCAGACUCAUUUCAUCCUGAUAAUGGAGAAAAUGAAAUGCCCAUUGUCAU